AGUGAUGACUCAGAGGAGGUCACUUCAGAUGACCCGGGGUCAGAGGUCAAAUCAAAAGUCGUCAAGAGGAGAAAAGAACAAUCGAAACAAUGAACUGUAGAACAAUAAUUAUAGCUGAUGAUGUUAAACAAUGGAAAAUAUGGAAAGCGGGUGUGGCACUUUGCUGAAAAGGGGCGAACUGAGACAAAGAAAGCUCAAGUGUGUCUAUCAGUAAAGCUUCAAUAUAAUGGCUACUGGGCAAGACUCCGGCGCUCAAAAGAAGCUAGCCGAGGACUUAUACGAGGCCGAGGACUUAUACGAGGCUGUAGACGAACGUGACGUCGUCAAAGUUAGGUCUCUGUUGGGACAUGGGGCAGACCCCAACCACCAGCUCUACUGGAGUGACGAGUGGGGAUACAAGAAGCCUCCAUUACACUUGGCUUGUGAUAAGGGCCACCUUGAGAUUGCGAAGACACUUGUUACCCAUGGAGCUCGGACUGAUAAAGGUGAUGGGACGUACAGCAAGACUCCACUUCACUGGGCAUGCCAGGGAGGUGAUAAGGAGAUGGUGCAGUACCUGAUCCAAGAGCUCAAAUGUAGCACUGUUGAACUCUGUUCCACAACAGACGUGAGGGAUAAGGAUAACAUGACUCCUCUUCAUCAGGCUUGUAUAUGGGGAAAUAAAGACGUGGUACAGUAUCUGGUGGAGGAGAGGAAGAUGGAUGUUGAUGUGAGGGAUGGUGAGGGACAGUCACCACUGGACAAUGCUCUGAAGGGUUCUGAUGUUGUGUGUUAUGAGGACUGUAUGGAUGUUGCCCUCUACCUGAUGAGCCGUGGCUGUGCAUGUGGUGAUGAGGACAAAGCCAGGUUACUCUGUGAGGCAUGUGACCUUGGCGAGCUGGGUGUCGUGAAGGAACUUGUUGAGCAAUACAAAGUUGACCCCAACAGUGUAACUGACUUUAAUGGCAAGACUCCUCUUGACCUUGCUACACAGGAGGGUCACACUGAAAUUGUUGACUACCUCAAGUCUCUACCACAACAAUCUGCUGUGACUGGAGACACUGACUCCAGGAGUGACGAGAAUGGACCACCACCAACAAAGAAACGAAAAAUGACCUCUGACCCUCUGUCUGGUCAACAGACACCCAGUGCUGGCGAUGAACAACCAGAAACAACUGAUACUCAAAAUGAUUCCACACAACUUUCAACGGAUGACCAAACCUUGUCAAGCACUCCAUUGACUGAGGAAGACUCUGAUGCUCUAGAAAAGCUGCUCCUAGACAACAAAAUCUCUUUGACUGGUGAAAGGACAUAUGAGACAGUAGUUCACCACCUUCGUGAGCUCGGACAUAUGGAACUUGCAGCCAACCUGAGGGAAAACCUCGACAAAGUGAUUAGAGAGCAAAAGCGAUAUCUGAAGAAAUUGGACGAUCUGAUGACCGACAAAGACACUAUCUCCAUGCAGUACCUCCGCCUACUUCUUGUCGGGCCACCAUUCGUGGGGAAAACAACAACUCUUGGCCGUUUACUGAAAGAUAUUGAAAACAUUAGUUCUGCUGGAGACAAGGCAAAGCUACGCAGUACGCUACUCACCAAUUGCCACCAAGUAGUCGCCUACAUGAACAAAGAUGCCACAGAAUGGGUUUAUUCCAAAGACGUAGAAGAGGAAGCAAAGAUCCUCUUUGGCUACAUGUACAGUAGCAAGGUCGAUGUUCCGAGUGCCCCAACUGAGAAAAAGACAAAAACUGUCCCCGAAAGCGAAAAGCACACAAGCAUACCCAAGCCACUUUCUCUUGAAAAGCCUCAGUCAAAGCUUGAAGAAGAAACACGCUCUGAAAUACAAGAGAAUGCUCACCAACAAAACAGGCUCAUACCCAUCAAAGCUAGAUUACAAAAACUGAUAAAGAACGGAAACUACUCCGAAAUGGCCAAAUGUCUCGGCAACACCUUGCUAAACAUCAACGAUGUUGGAGGACAACCUGCCUUCCUAGAAAUGCUACCAGCCGUAUGUAAUGGUCCUGCCAUGUAUCUAGUGUUCUUGGAUCUAAGCAAGGAACUUAACGAACCCUACGAUAUUCCCUUCAGUCGUGACGACACAGUCAUUACUCCAUUCAAAGCUGCUCACACAGUGGAAGCCACAGUCUCUCAAAUCCUCUCAGCAGUUGCCAGUAUCCAUCACGUCUCUCAAGAAGAUGCCAAGUACAAAACCACCUCCAAAUUGAGCGAGAAGUUUGAAAAGUUCCAACAAGUUCGUCCGGUAGCAGCUUUGAUCGGUACUCACGUGGACAAGUUGGAGAAUCCAAAAGAGAAAAUCAAGCAAGUCAACGAUGCUCUGAAAGCAACCACUCAAAAGUUUGCUGAGAUCCUUGUAUCACCUCCGUCAGAUUCUGAAUCUUCCUUUUUUGCCGUGGACAACUUUGCUGGAACGGAACAGUCUGACAUUGCCCCGAUUCGUGAUUUCCUGAGCGAUGUUUUUGCGUCUCAUUUCAAGGAUGCAUCUCUGCCCAUCAAACCGAAAUGGCUCCUACUGGGCACACUACUGCGGAUGGAGUACUCAAUCGUGUCGAUGGAAGACUGUCUAGAAAUCGGGAGAUUGUUGGAGAUGGAUGAAGAAGAUACCAAAUUCUGUCUUUGGUACCUACAGAAGAUUGGAUCCAUACUCCAUUACGGGAAUGUACCCAAUGAUAUCGAUGGCUGGCUAAGCAACCACAUGUUCUGCACCCCUGAAGUGAUCUUCACUAGCAUCAGCCAACUGAUCCUUGCUGCUUUACGCAUCCUCCAUUCUGAAGGCAUUGUCCUCGAGAUUGAGCGAGCAGACUUGAUCAAGAUGGGACAGUUUUCACUGGAGGCCAUUAUCAAGUACUGUAAUGGUCCUGAUGUUGCAAAACUGCUCAAGAAAGGAGAGAUUAUCCCAGCCAAGCAUCUCAUCAUACUGCUGCAACAUCUCAACCUUCUCUCAGAAAUUGUCCACAAAGAUGCCAAUGAUUCGAAGGUCACUCGAAGCACGUACCUCAUGCCGGCUGUUUUGGACUGUGCUUUACAAGACGAGCUAGCCAACCCACCUCAACCAGACACCAACAACCCAGAACCACUCCACAUCGCAUUCAGCUUUGGUUACGUACCAACAGGAGUCUUCUGCGGGCUCAUCACUCGACUAGUUUCCCAAGGCCCUCACGGAAUUCUAGGAUUGAUGUGGGAAUUGGUGGAAGAUGGCGUCAAACGAAACUGCGUCUCCUUUUAUGUUGACUACGUACACAAAGUGACACUGCUCUCUCACGACAGAAGCUACGAGAUACGAGUUGAACGCAAUGCAAAACAGAUGGAUUUAUCUCUUCACGAUCUUUGCUCCCACACUUUGUCAGCAAUCCUGUAUAUGCUCAAGAACCUGUUCCCAAAGUUGAUCCUCAGUGUUGCAUUUCAAUGCUCCUGUCCCAAACACGCAGCAAGCAAGAGUCUCAACAACCUUUGCACCCUUGUUCAAGGCCGAAAGAUCUACUUCCUGUGUGGUAGAAGUCCCGUCACCCUCAGUGAAGCACAACAAGUGUGGUUGGGGAAGCACGUGUGUCUAGGAAAUAGGACGGAACUAGAGGUGCUAAAGUUUGCUGAGGAUGGUUUCUCCUUCCACUGGAGCAAAGAGGGCUCCAGACGUCAGAUUAAGACAACUGAUGAUCGGCCCAACACUGUCAGCUUCCCGAGUGUGAGAGAGGAGGACUUUGGUCACUACCAGUGUGAAGUGAAGGAUGCAGCUGCUGGGAAAGUGCUCCUCACUCUCUACACAGCUCUCUACAAAGAGGACACAAAUCUUCUAGCCUCAGGCCAGCGCAAAAGGUCAUUGCCAUCAGAUGUAGAAGUUGAAUCUCUGUCGAAGCGUCCAAAGAAUGAUGUCACUGUACAAGUUCAACAACAUAAGACGACAGCGACUACAGCUCAGUUGAGUCAAGAGUGCUCGGAUGAAGCUCUUCUCCAGUUGUCUACCGAGAUAGCUGGCUAUGACAAAUACAAGCUCAGGCUGGGCCUCAGUGAUGCUGAGAUUGAGAAUAUCGAUCAAACCAUUGAUAAUAUCCCAGGGAGAUUUCACGCUGCUCUAAAGAAGUGGAAGAGUAAAAGCAUCAAUUUCGAUAAUCCAUCGAAAUCGUCAGCUACUUACGGUCGAUUAGUGGAAAUUUCCUCAGAGAUUGAGGACGGAGAGGCAGUUCGCAGCAUUCACAAGGCCUGUGUCAAGGAUACAUUUCAGCCACAUGAGACGAUAGUGACAGCGACUGCAGCUCAGUUGAGUCAAGAGUGCUCGGAUGAAGCUCUUCUCCAGUUGUCUACCGAGAUUGCUGGCUAUGACAGAUACAAGCACAGGCUGGGCCUCAGUGAUGCUGACAUUGGUGCUAUUGAUCUGACAAUUGUUGGUAUUCCAGGGAAAUUCCUCGCUGCUCUAAAGAAGUGGAAGAGUAAAAAUAUUCUCCAAUUCAAUCCAUUGAAUUCAACAGCUACUUACGGUCGAUUAGUGGAAAUUGCUGCAAAGAUUGAGGACGGAGAGGCAGUUCGCAGCAUUCACAAGGCCUGUGUGGAGCAUACAUGACUGGAGGUCAUGGAUCAGUCAACACCAUCAGACACUACCAACACUAUAGAACCAUAAGCACAUUUGCACAUUAUUUUGUUUUGUUUGACGCUUAUUGUGGUAAUGAAUGAAGUGGCAUGAGUUUUUUUUACUGACAAUGUUCUUGGUAUGGAUCCUUCAACUUGGGAACAAAUAUUAGCCAGUAAUCUGGUAAAGUAUCACUGCAGUAAUGAAUUUAUAAAUUUGCACAUGGCCUACUGAGCUAGCUAUCGUAGACUCGACUCUGCAUGCUAUAGACUAGACUAAGAGCUUCACAGCUAGGCAGCAUUGAAAUAGUAUAAAUGUUAUAGCUCCAGUUGCUAACAGAGAUGGCUCCAUGCACACGAGGAGCAGUGUAGAGAGAGAGAGCUAGCCAGAGAGUGACUGUCUCGAGGCAUCCUGACUGAGUGCUGCUGCUGGUGGAUAUGGUGGCUAGUCUGCAGAGGGAGCUGGACAAUGCUAGGGAGGAUUGUCAGCAGAGGAGCAUCCUAGCAAAACUGACCAAACAGUAGAAAUUCCAAAACUGUUUCUGACUGGAGCUGAUCCAAAUAAUUCGCGAUAGUCUCAAAAAUGCAAGCAAAGAUUGGUUUGAUUUAGGAUUGGCUCUCGGAGUGAAUAUUACUGACUUGAAAGACAUUGAAGACCAACACGCUAGUAACAAACGACGCCUAACAGAGAUGGUGGGCAAGCGUCUUGAAGUCACUCAUCCACCCAUGACAUGGCCUUACAUAUGUGAAUGUCUAAGGAGUCCUACUGUUGAGCGUAACGAUGUAGCCGAGGAAAUUGAAGGCAAGUAUGUGAGGACAGCAACUGCAGUUGCUCAUAGUGCCACCAAUUGAUCAUGAGAACCUGACAAGCUUGAAGGGGACGAAUAAAGUAAAGAAGCAUAAAGAAGCAUACAUGCAAGAAUUAAGUAAAGAAUUGACUGACUCUGUGCUAACAAUGUCGUCUAUAUAGCCAUUAUUAUAAAGUAUGAGUACUGUGACAUGUUCAAGCAUUGUUCAUUUGUUCCUUGUAAGGGAUCAGCAUCUUAUUCUUAUAGAAUAAUUAUUUAUAAUUGA